rnacentral:rRNA from 1 species
GACAGCAGUAGCCACGGUAAUACGGAGGGGGCUAGCGUUGUUCGGAAUUACUGGGCGUAAAGCGCACGUAGGCGGCUUGGUAAGUUAGAGGUGAAAGCCCGGAGCUCAACUCCGGAAUUGCCUUUAAGACUGCCGAGCUAGCAGGUGAGAGAGGUAAGUGGAAUUCCGAGUGUAGAGGUGAAAUUCGUAGAUAUUCGGAAGAACACCAGUGGCGAAGGCGGCUUACUGGCUCAUACUGGACGCUGAGGUGCGAAAGCGUGGGGAGCAAACAGGAUUAGAUACCCGAGUAGUCCCUGUCUCUUAUAU